AAAUAGGCCCAAACAACUGUUUAUCAAAAACACAGGUUUCUGCAAAAUCGUAAGAUGAAGUAUAGGGGCUGACGCCUGCCCAGUGCUGGAAGGUUAAAAGGAGGACUUAGCUUCGGCGAAGGUCUUAAUUGAAGCCCCAGUGAACGGCGGCCGUAACUAUAACGGUCCUAAGGUAGCGAAAUUCCUUGUCGGGUAAGUUCCGACCCGCAUGAAAGGCGUAAUGAUUUGGGCGCUGUCUCAACAAUAGACUCGGUGAAAUUUAAAUUCCAGUGAAGAUGCUGGGUACCCGCGACAGGACGGAAAGACCCCGUGGAGCUUUACUGUAGUUUGAUAUUGAAUGUUUGUGCUGCAUGUGCAGGAUAGGUAGGAGACUUUGAAGUCGGAACGCUAGUUUCGAUUGAGUCACCCUUGAGAUACUACCUCUGUUGUAUGAACGUUCUAACUCUGAUCAGUUAUCCUGAUCGAAGACAGUGUCUGGCAGGCAGUUUGACUGGGGCGGUCGCCUCCUAAAAGAUAACGGAGGCGCUCAAAGGUUUGCUCAGAAUGGUUGGAAAUCAUUCGUAGCGUGUAAAGGCAUAAGCAAGCUUGACUGUGAGACUGACAAGUCGAGCAGGUACGAAAGUAGGACUUAGUGAUCCGGUGGUUCCGUAUGGAAGGGCCAUCGCUCAACGGACAAAAGCUACCCCGGGGAUAACAGGCUCAUCUCCCCCAAGAGUCCACAUCGACGGGGAGGUUUGGCACCUCGAUGUCGGCUCAUCGCAUCCUGGGGCUGUAGUCGGUCCCAAGGGUUGGGCUGUUCGCCCAUUAAAGCGGUACGCGAGCUGGGUUCAGAACGUCGUGAGACAGUUCGGUCCCUAUCCGUCGUGGGCGCAGGAAAUUUGAGAGGAUCUGUCCUUAGUACGAGAGGACCGGGAUGGACAUACCUCUGGUGUACCAGUUGUUCUGCCAAGAGCACCGCUGGGUAGCUACGUAUGGAUUAGAUAAUCGCUGAAAGCAUCUAAGUGAGAAACUAACCUCGAGAUGAGAUUUCCCAUUCGUCAGAAGUAAGACCCCUGAGAGACGAUCAGGUAGAUAGGCUAGAAGUGGAAGUGUAGUGAUGCAUGGAGCGGACUAGUACUAAUAGGUCGAGGACUUAACCAAG
rnacentral:rRNA from 1 species